rnacentral:lncRNA from 1 species
CUCGGAGGUGCGAUGGGGACGAUGAAGUGCGAUGGUCACGCUGAAGUGCGAUGGUCCACGCCGAAGUACGAUGGUCCUUUCGCUGAAGUGCGAUGGUUUGGCUUGACGUUCGAAUAUUGUGACGUUUUAUAAUACAACGUUUUUUUAAAAUACAACAUUGAUUUGCAAGCAGGAUGAUAUGAUUUUGUAGAUGAAGGUUUCAUGGUCACAAAGGAAAUGAAAGGAAAAAGAAAAAAACGAACGAUUUAAGUCCCAAACUGAUUUGAGCAUAACAUGUCGAUGUUACAAAAAUAUUUUUAACCAUGCCAGGCAGCAAAAUAAGGGGAGCAACGGGCUGAAAGAUGAUUUUGGUCAGCGAAUGGGUUAUCCUAUGUUCGGAAUAAUGUCGCACGAUAAUGAUUCAACUGAAAUAAAGUAUACUGAUAUAAUUUUAAAUAUUGAUGUUAAAUUAUCAUUAAGUAACAAAGCUUCACGUGAUUUUAUGUGGACAAUUUAAUAAAAAAAAAUUAAUAAUUGAGAGUAUUAGCAAUGUUUUUGUUAAUGUUGUUUAAUCUCGAGAUAAAUCCUGAUUUGUAAAACCACCGUCGCUCUAGUCUUUUUUAUUACCGUUACAGUGAUUAUUGCCUGAAACAAAGUAGGCCGAAAUUACCCUGACUGCUCCCUACGUGUACUUCCUAAAAUAAUAAAUAGGAAUAAUUGUUGUUAUCAAUUUCUAAGUUUUGUCAUAACAUAAACCCUGCUUAGUGUUACCGUAUAGACAUACACGCUCAUUUUUUUUUUUGUUCAGUUCACCCUUGAGCAUCUUAGAUCUGAC